rnacentral:rRNA from 1 species
AAAACUUUCAACAACGGAUCUCUUGGCUCUGGCAUCGAUGAAGAACGCAGCGAAAUGCGAUAAGUAAUGUGAAUUGCAGAAUUCAGUGAAUCAUCGAAUCUUUGAACGCACAUUGCGCCCGCCAGUAUUCUGGCGGGCAUGCCUGUUCGAGCGUCAUUACAACCCUCAGGCCCCCGGGCCUGGCGUUGGGGAUCGGCGGAAGCCCCCUGCGGGCACAACGCCGUCCCCCAAAUACAGUGGCGGUCCCGCCGCAGCUUCCAUUGCGUAGUAGCUAACACCUCGCAACUGGAGAGCGGCGCGGCCACGCCGUAAAACACCCAACUUCUGAAUGUUGACCUCGAAUCAGGUAGGAAUACCCGCUGAACUUAAGCAUAUCAAUAAGCGGAGGAAAAGAAACCAACAGGGAUUGCCCCAGUAACGGCGAGUGAAGCGGCAACAGCUCAAAUUUGAAAUCUGGCUCUCGGGCCCGAGUUGUAAUUUGUAGAGGAUGCUUUUGGUGAGGUGCCUUCCGAGUUCCCUGGAACGGGACGCCAUAGAGGGUGAGAGCCCCGUCUGGUUGGACACCGAUCCUCUGUAAAGCUCCUUCGACGAGUCGAGUAGUUUGGGAAUGCUGCUCUAAAUGGGAGGUAUAUGUCUUCUAAAGCUAAAUACCGGCCAGAGACCGAUAGUGCACAAGUAGAGUGAUCGAAAGAUGAAAAGCACUUUGGAAAGAGAGUCAAAAAGCACGUGAAAUUGUUGAAAGGGAAGCGCUUGCAGCCAGACUUGCUCGCAGUUGCUCAUCCGGGCUGGAGCCCGGUGUACUCUUCUGCGAGCAGGCCAGCAUCAGUUUGGGCGGCUGGACAAAGGCCUCUGACACGUACUUCCCCGCGGGGGUUGACAUAUAGGGGAGGCGGCAUGCAGCCAGCCUGGACUGAGGACCGCGCAUUUGCUAGGAUGCUGGCGUAAUGGCUGUAAGCGGCCCGUCUUGAAACACGGACC